UCCAUGGCCCCAACCAACAUGGCCACUUGGAUCAAUUUAUUAAAACUCCACAGUUAAGUGUGCUUGAGCCAGAGGCGUCUUGGGAUGGGUGACCACCUAGGAAGUCCUGGUUACUAAGUGC
rnacentral:rRNA from 1 species